UACGUAGGGUGCAAGCGUUGUCCGGAAUUAUUGGGCGUAAAGAGCUCGUAGGCGGUUUGUCGCGUCGAAUGUGAAAACCCGGGGCUCAACCCCGGGCCUGCAUUCGAUACGGGCAGACUAGAGUUCGGUAGGGGAGUCUGGAAUUCCUGGUGUAGCGGUGAAAUGCGCAGAUAUCAGGAGGAACACCGAUGGCGAAGGCGGGACUCUGGGCCGAUACUGACGCUGAGGAGCGAAAGCGUGGGGAGCAAACAGG
rnacentral:rRNA from 1 species